rnacentral:rRNA from 1 species
UGGCGGCGUGCCUAACACAUGCAAGUCGAGCGAAUGAAGUUCCUUCGGGAAUGGAUUUAGCGGCGGACGGGUGAGUAACACGUGGGCAACCUGCCUCAUAGAGGGGAAUAGCCUUCCGAAAGGGAGAUUAAUACCGCAUAAGAUUGUAGUACCGCAUGGUACAGCAAUUAAAGGAGCAAUCCGCUAUGAGAUGGGCCCGCGGCGCAUUAGCUAGUUGGUGAGGUAACGGCUCACCAAGGCGACGAUGCGUAGCCGACCUGAGAGGGUGAUCGGCCACAUUGGGACUGAGACACGGCCCAGACUCCUACGGGAGGCAGCAGUGGGGAAUAUUGCACAAUGGGGGAAACCCUGAUGCAGCAACGCCGCGUGAGUGAUGACGGCCUUCGGGUUGUAAAGCUCUGUCUUCAGGGACGAUAGUGACGGUACCUGAGGAGGAAGCCACGGCUAACUACGUGCCAGCAGCCCGCGGUAAUACGUAGGUGGCGAGCGUUGUCCGGAUUUACUGGGCGUAAAGGGAGCGUAGCGGAUUUUUAAGUGAGAUGUGAAAUACUCGGGCUUAACCUGAGUGCUGCAUUUCAAACUGGAAAGUCUAGAGUGCAGGAGAGGA